UAAUACGGAGGGAGCUAGCGUUGUUCGGAAUUACUGGGCGUAAAGCGCACGUAGGCGGCUAUUCAAGUCAGAGGUGAAAGCCCGGGGCUCAACCCCGGAACUGCCUUUGAAACUAGAUAGCUCGAAUCAUGGAGAGGUGAGUGGAAUUCCGAGUGUAGAGGUGAAAUUCGUAGAUAUUCGGAA
rnacentral:rRNA from 1 species